AACGAACGCUGGCGGCAUGCCUAACACAUGCAAGUCGAACGAGACCUUCGGGUCUAGUUGCGCACGGGUGCGUAACGCGUGGGAACCUGCCCUUAUGUUCGGAAUAACUCCCCGACAGGGGUGCUAAUACCGGAUAAUGUCUUCGGACCAAAGAUUGAUCGCCUUUGGAUGGGCCCGCGUUGGAUUAGCUAGUUGGUAGGGUAAAAGCCUACCAAGGCUACGAUCCAUAGCUGGUCUGAGAGGAUGAUCAGCCACACUGGGACUGAGACACGGCCCAGAAUCCUACGGGAGGCAGCAGUGGGGAAUAUUGGACAAUGGGCGAAAGAAUGAACCAGCAAGGCCGCGUGAGUGAUGAAGGCCUUAGGGAUGUAAAGCUCGUUUACCCGGGAUGAUAAUGACAGUACCGGGAGAAUAAGCUCCGGCUAACUCCGUG
rnacentral:rRNA from 1 species